ACCAAUCAUUUUGUUGCUAAGAAAUUUUGAAUCACAUAAUUCACUUAUGAGUUCUAUUAAUUUAAUAAUUAAGUUUGCUUAAGUUUAUCCAUUUUCGUAACAAUUAAUAUCUUUGUUAUGGAACUCGAAUUGCGGCUACGGAAAACAGCGCCGUUAAUCGUAGUUAUUAUAGUUAUAUUUAUGAAUGUCAAAGCUCAUUCAUUAUAAACAUAAAUAAAUAAAUAAAUAAAUAAAUAAAUAACUACUUUAGCCUAACGGUUUUAUUCCUAAUACUUCAAUACUAAGUUUGUAUUUCUUAUUCUCAUUCUCAAUAUUGUUGUUUUUACCACUGAAUAUUCUCAUCGAUUUAAAGGAGCUUCUUCCCUCUUAUAAUGAUAACCAGCAUUUCGUAAUUUUCACGAUUUUCGUAACAAUUAAUGUCUUUGUUAUAGAACACAACUUCUAUCGCUAUUACAGAAAAUGGUAAUCACUGUCUUAAUCGAGGUCACGUACCAUUAAAUAUCGGAUAAUUGAAUAAAUAAAUACUUUUCCACUUAAAGUCAUGACGGAAUACUAAAUUUCUAUAUCUUGUCAUUCUCAAUAUUAUUGUUACUUUCUAUUAUUAUUACCAACACGAGAAUCCUUAUAAUAUAUCUUUGUAAAAACAUUUUCGUUGUUAAGAAUAUAUUAGAAUCUGUAUGUUAUGACUUUGUAACAAUUAUUUUGUUGCUAAGAAAUUUUGAAUCACAUCGACCUCUUCACUUAUGAGUUCUAUUAAUCAUUUGGUUUAUUUUGCUUUACGUUUCACCUUUUUCGUACCAAUAAAUAUCUUUGUUAUAGAAUACGACUUGUAUCGCGCCUACAGAAAGGAGUGCCGUUUAUCGUUAUCAUUAAACUUUUUGUUAAUGAAUAUCAAAUUUCAUUCAUAAAAAAAACUAUAAGGAGUAAUUUCCCAUUUAUAAAACCAUUUCAGGCUUUACUCGUAUUCCAACUCUUUUCGGUGUCCUUAGCUGGCCUAAUUCCAACCCCUUCAGUGAUUUCCAUUUGAUUCAUGUGUUAAUUUUAUGCCUAAGUCCUCGUAACUUCUUUAUUAAUUAAUUAAUUUUAUUCCCGAUGUGACCAGUUCUCUUGUGGAUGUAGUGGAUGUACUCUUCGUAAUGUUUGACCAUAGGACUAUCGUUACCAUUACAUCGGCUUUGAGUUCUGUUCAUCCUACGCUUUUUUUUUCUCUCGUUUCCCUUCGUCGUAAGAACCAAAAUUCUUAUGAAUCUCGACCUACUUCUCCUCCCUUUUUUAGGAGCGUCGUUAUUGCUAACCAAUAUCUUUUUUUUUUUUAAUCUUUUGUACGAUCCCGUUUAUUGAAUUCCAACUCCCCCAUCGUAAGGUUUAUCUUCGCCACACAUCUUUCCUGUGUCUUUUACAAAUGAUCAAUGCGUCUGUAUUCAUAGGUGACAAAAUUUCUUCCCAUUAUCCGCAUAACUAUUAUAUUCAUUAUUUUGAAAGCCAAAUAUCCCUUAAAGAUUACUGAAUAUAAUUUUUUGUUCUGUUAUAUGUAUCAGAAUUGCUAUAAGUUGAUUCAUUGAUCUUAUAAGAAAGGCUGGUAUCGUAACAAUUAACUUCAUUGUUAUGAAAAAAAGCUAUGAUGAGACAACAGUUUCGAAAUCCAGGUGGAUUAUGUGUGUAAUGAUUUACUGCAAUCGAGAGAAAGUUUAUACAUGUUAUUUUUUUUACGCUGUCAUUAUCAUUACUAUUUCACUGUUUUCAUAACAUACAACUGAGGAAAAAAAAAAAACAUGUAGUGCAUGAUUAUCAUCAUCAUCAUCAUCAUCAUCAUCAUCAUCAUCAUCAUCAUCAUCAUCAUCAUCAUCAUCAUCAUCAACUUAUUUGUGUUUUAGUAAAGCACCAAACAUUUCACACUGUUCUAAAAUGAUAAUUUCCAUAUUAACGUGUAGGUAUAUAUUUAUCGAAUCUCAGUGUAUACUUGAUAUGAGAUCUUUUUCCCCACAUAAAAACAUGGUAUGAUGUAUGACGUAUGUAAGAAAAUGUAAAACGUAUUUCAUGAUCUUUGUUCCUCAUUAUAUAUGAUAUGAUAUGACAUGUUAUAUCAGUUCAUUAAAGUAUGAUAAGAACCAUUGGAACCAAGAAGGAAUAACUGAAUAAAAAAUUGUCAUAUUAAAAUGAGGCUGUCGUCUUUAUAAUCUAAUGAUUGGUUACAAUUACUGUUAUAUUUCUUCAUGUAUAAAAUAAUUUCAUUUUUCUUAUUUCGAAGUAUAUUUUCAUGCAUUUUUAUAGCUCGGUUUUACAACCCCAUGUUAGAACAUAUUCAUAGUUUAGAUCUUAUUCAUCACUUGUGAUACUGAUAUAAAAGUGUUUAUGUAUAAUGUACAUCAUUUUCAUUAGCAUUCUUAUUACUAUAACCCUGUUGCUAUAACAUUUUUAAACACUUCUCUGUAUGGUUAAAAAAAAAAAGUUGCAGUCACGUCGUAUUGAAUUUAUUGAGAUUUUUAAAACGAUUUCUGUCAGAUGUUAAUAGGUUUUGUUCCCUCAUUAUAUUUGUAACAUAGCUGUAUAUAGAGGACACACAUGUCACUCGCUUCCAUGUGCUUUCUUUAAUAUUAUAUAAUUUAAAUGUCUCAAUAUAUAGUGCCUCAAGUGUGACCUCAGUAUUUAAAUGUGAUUGUUUCAAAGAUGAAUACCAAACUUAAGUGUAACGCCAGUCUCCAAGUAUGACUUCAGUCUACAAGGGUGAUAUCAGAGGGCACAGAGUGUGACUUCAGUCUGCAAACACAAGGCAGGCCUUCAGGAGAGACCCCAGUUGCAUGUAGGAGAAUUCCAGAAGCCAUCUAGCAAUACCACACUCCAGCAUGAGACACAACUCAAAGGGCGUCCACCAGCAGGAGAGAACGCUGGGCUUUGGGCAUCACGUGGCCUCUUGAGGGUCAUUAAGCCUGAGACGGGAGUUCAUCCUGAGACAUCCGUUAGUGCACCAUUUUAAGCCUAGGACAUCCAUAUGGGAGUCAGUUUCAGCCUGAGACAUACCUUCGGACACCUGAUCAGCUUGAAAUAUGAAACGUCCUGCCUCAUUUUAGGCUGAGCCCACAUUUGCUCGGAAACUCAUUUCAGUCUCUCAGAAGUCUGGGCACUUCAGUCACGCUGGCUUCUUGCCCAUCACUCCAAGGUCACCCUCAAAGAAGCAGGUCACUCCAGCGUAAAACAUGGAGACUGCAGUGUCACAUUGGACUUCAGUCUGAGAUGUCACAUGAAAGCCUGAGAUGUCACACGAAGUAGGAAUGGGUCGUAGUUACACUUGAACGGGUCUUGUCAGCCUGUCACAUUGGUUUCAUUUUCAAAUAAUUAAUUGUGUCCUUAAUCUUCAGUUGUAGGCCUAUACAAAAUUAUCUAUCCGUGUGUGUGUAUCGACAUGUUUAUUGUAUUAUUAUCCAGUUAUAUUAUGCAAUUGCAACACUGUAGUUAACUGUUGCCUUUGUUUUUCAAUAUGUGCUUGUUUCAUAAAGAUCUGCCAUUUAUUAUCUCUCAAAUUCCUUUGCUAUUUUGCAUUCCAUUAUUUAUUGAGUGAAGGCAAUGCGUU